rnacentral:rRNA from 1 species
AGUGAACGCUGGCGGUAGGCCUAACACAUGCAAGUCGAACGGCAGCACAGUAAGAGCUUGCUCUUACGGGUGGCGAGUGGCGGACGGGUGAGGAAUACAUCGGAAUCUACUUUUUCGUGGGGGAUAACGUAGGGAAACUUACGCUAAUACCGCAUACGACCUACGGGUGAAAGCAGGGGAUCUUCGGACCUUGCGCGAUUGAAUUAGCCGAUGUCGGAUUAGCUAGUUGGCGGGGUAAAGGCCCACCAAGGCGACGAUACGUAGCUGGUCUGAGAGGAUGAUCAGCCACACUGGAACUGAGACACGGUCCAGACUCCUACGGGAGGCAGCAGUGGGGAAUAUUCGACAAUGGGCGAAAGCCUGAUCCAGCCAUACCGCGUGGGUGAAGAAGGCCUUCGGGUUGUAAAGCCCUUUUGUUGGGAAAGAAAAGCAGCAGGUUAAUACCCCGCUGUUCUGACGGUACCCAAAGAAUAAGCACCGGCUAACUUCGUG